rnacentral:rRNA from 1 species
GCGGUAAUACCGGCGGCUCGAGUGGUGGCCACUUUAUUGGGCUUAAAGCGUUCGUAGCUGGGUUAUUAAGUCCCUUGGGAAAUCCGACAGCUUAACUGUCGGGCGUCUAAGAGAUACUGGUAAUCUUGGAACCGGGAGAGGUGAGGGGUACUUCGGGGGUAGGAGUGAAAUCCUGUAAUCCUCGAGGGACCACCUGUGGCGAAGGCGCCUCACCAGAACGGCUUCGACAGUGAGGGACGAAAGCUGGGGGAGCAAACCGGAUUAGAUACCCGGGUAGUCCCAGCCGUAAACGAUGUGCGUUAGGUGUAUCGGUGACCACGAGUCACCGAGGUGCCGAAGGGAAACCGUGAAACGUACCGCCUGGGAAGUACGGUCGCAAGGCUGAAACUUAAAGGAAUUGGCGGGGGAGCACCACAACAGGUGGAGCCUGCGGUUUUAAAUUGGACUCAACGCCGGAAAUCUCACCGGAUAAGACAGCAGAAUGAUUGCCGGGCUGAAGACUCUGCAUGACUAGCUGAGAAGAGGUGCAUGG